UGUUCGAAAAGGCAAACCUGCCGAAAGGCAGGGACGCAAAGUCACCGUCUAAGGGCAAGCUGCAUCGCCUAUGACCGAGGGAUUGCCGAA
rnacentral:ncRNA from 1 species